AAAUUAUUUUUUAUGACUUGAUUUUUAAAUUAUAUAAUAAUUAAAAAAGUUUAUAAUAUUUUAUCUACAUCGUAUUAAUUUUAGAGUAAAUUUUUUAAUUUUUAUGAAAUUGAUAUAGAUUGGAAAAUGUUUAUGUGAAGUUUGAUUGUUCUGUGAAGACUGAGAAUUUGGCUAUGUAGCUAAACUCUCUGUUGAUGAUAUUUUUGUGUAUUUUAAUUACAAAAACACUCAUCAAGUUUCGAAAAAAAACGAGUUGGGAUGGAGAUUUUACGCAUUCUUUAUUUUUCACUUAAAGUGAAUAGUAAGUCGGGUUUUCUGGAGAUGCCAAUAAGUAGAGAUGGCUUUUGGCGCGUAUCGGACUCCGUUCAUGGUGAUCCAAUAGCUCGUUUUCAACGGUCCAACUGUCCCGGACCUAGUGGACCCUCCGUAUGUCUGAUUAACAAUCGUAUACAGUUUGGAGACAAGCGCGACACUGAUGCAGGUGGGUGCUUCGAGCUGGUAGUCGAUGAGAUCGUUUCACUUUCCUCUCCCUUGUUAUUGCACUUGCAUAUCGGUACUUUAGUCUCUACAUGUCGGUUGCAUUUGUUUAUCGUUCGUUCGUCUAUAUCUUGAUAGUUGCAUGGUGACAAUUGUUAUAGACUUGUAGAGCAGGCUUGCAUAUAUUGUAUAUAUGUGUUGAACGCGCUGGUGCAGUUCGUUUGUAAAUCUGUUGGACGGAUCUCCUGAUAUCGCGCGGGGAUCGAGGACGGGUCAUAAGUGGUGAAACGAAAAUUUUGCGUAAAG
rnacentral:lncRNA from 1 species